ensembl:antisense
CCCAGUCCCAAUAUGCCAGACACCAUAGUUUGGUCAGAGCCGGCUCUGGCAUUUUCAGGCUUGCUGAAGGACAGGAGCCAAGCAAGGUAGCUAGCUAUUCUGCACGCAGCUCCCAGCCGGUUCCUGCCUGGGCGUUGCUCUACAGGCGCCGAAGGAAGCCUUUGGAUACCCUCCACCCGCUUUCUGGCUGCCUAGCCACGCCCACUCUCCUUAGCAACCUGGAGCCAAUCCUCAGAAGCUCAUAAAGAAAGUUCAGCAGUCCCACCCUGCCUUCACCGGGUCCAGCACCUUGAGGCGUGCGUGGGCUUCGGCGGCAGGCAGAAGACGGUGACCACGGUGCGAACCGAGCGAGGCACACACACCACACACAAGUGUGCGGUCCUGCUCGCAGUAGAUGCUCAGUGGAUCCAGGUGUUCCUCGCAGUGGCCUUGGGGCACUUGCGCCAAACCCUCCACAAGGCGCGCCAACUGGAGGUUAGUGCUUAGCGCCUGCGGCCUCGUAGGUGCCUGACAACAGGGACAGGCAACCGUGCCGUCGGCUGCAGGCUCCCCUCCCACACGGAUCAGACAGGCACGGCAGAAACUGUGGCCACACUCAGCCGUCACUGGCGCAUCGAACAGCUGCAAGCACAGCGGGCAGGACAGUUCCUGACGCAGAAGGCCUGGUGCAGCCGACAUGGUGAGCCUGGGAAGAGGAGUCCCAUUAGAGAAACCCAAAGACAAGAAUUCCAGCUCAAUCCUACACUGGGUCUGUGGCCCCGCAGUCAGAGCCCCAUCCUGUAACUACCUCACAUCCCACACUGGAAGAGAAUCUGGUUUUGACCAUCUGGUAAAGAGGAUGUGGUGCCAUCCCAGAGUGGGUGUAUAUCGCCAUUCUCAGCCCAGAUAAAAACAAAUGUGACCCAACUAGGCAUUUAUCAGCCCGGGUUUUUAAACACUACCCAAUCCACCCACUCCUUGCUACUGAUUUAACCCAGGCUUCAGUCUGUGACCUAGGUCUAGACCUUCACUCUUCUGGAAUUAUCUAGAAUCCCCUCUCCAAUUGACCUCCCACUGACCUCUCUCGAAUAUCCAGCCCUCUCCUCCCCCAUAUCUCAAGGCCUACAGGACUCACAGGUCUGGUGGGAGAACUCAGGCCAAAAAAGACUCCCGGGAGGACCAGUCAGGAACAGGUCUAACAGCAGGGUGAUCGGAGUUGUGUCCAGAGACAAGCAAGAAGCAAGCAGCAGGCUCAAUGCAAGGGCAGGGAUUCAGGGCCAGACGGCAGUGGGUGGACACAACAGGUGACAGGCACAUAGUGGACACCCUCCCAGAUAGUUCAGUGGCCCAAGAACUAUAUUUAGCUGUCCUACCCACUCCCUCCCACCGCUUUCUGGAAACUGUUCUAAAUGUGGAGUGUGAGCAGUCAGCAGGCAGACAUCCUGGCCUGGCCUGGCCUAGUCCUUUCCUCAGGCCAGGCUAGAGCUUAGAAUCAGUGGGCAAGCAGGGCUGCCCUUCUCCCUUCAGCACUUCCACUCUGGCUUCCUUCCUCCUUGAUGUUGUUGGUUAACCUCUUCAUUUCUCAACCACUUACCAAAGCCACACUGGCAGUGCUAACCCCACCUGUGGGAAGACGGGACCUCCUUCCUCCAUAACUAAAGUGAGGGUAUUUUUCCCCUAUUUUCUAGCAUAGGCCCUGGAACAAUGUACCCCAUCCCUCAAAUGCUUGGAGAAUGAAUGAUAGGUAGUUGAAUGAAUGAACUGAAACCAGAGUCUACAGCUCAGAACUGAAGCUUGCCCUACUGGAAGCACCGGCCUUUCUUAAAAGCUUAUCUUUCAAUUGUCAAUAUAAAUUUCAACCAGAAUGAAAAUCAAAGUCUUCCUUAUGACCUACAAUUUAUACCCAUCUGGCCCCAUUCACUGCCCUGACCUGUGCCUCACCCUUUCCCUGGCCCUGGUUCCUCGAGGACUUUGUCUUUGCCACCCCUCUAUCUAGAACGUUCUUGCAGACCCAGAUAUUGCAUAGCUCUUUCUUUUCUCCUCAGACCUCUUCUCAACGCCAGGCUUCCAGCAAUGGUUCUUCAAACUCCUACAUCUUUUCCUUAAAUCCUGGGUGUCCCGGUGCUGUUUCAGUAACAAGGCAGAUACACAAGAGCCCCUCACUUCUUUACAUCUUGAGGACCAAGCCAGAGAGAUGGCUCAGUGGUUAAGAGCACUGUCUGCUCCUCCAGAGGCCCUGAGGUCUGUUCCCACAAAGCCACUCACAACCAUCGAUAACCCCAGUUCCAGGCAGUCUGAUACCCCUUCUGACCUCUGUGGACAGUAGGCACACACGUGGUACAUAAACCAUAUACCCAUACACAUUAAAUAAUUUUAAACUAUUUUUAAAAAAACAAAGCAAGAGGCUGGAGGGGAGUGAUUUAUGCUUGAGAAGCCGAGGCAAGAGGAUCAAGAGUCCAAAGCCAGCCUUGGCUGCGUGAGAACCUGAGAAGUAGGGAGAUUGUGUGUGUAUAGGAGAGAGAGAGUGCUGUUGGGGGAGGAUGCACACUUUUAAUCCCAGCACUUAGGAGGCAGAAGCAGGCAGGUCUCUUGAGUUCAAGGCCACCCUGGUCUAUAGUCUAUAGAGUAGAUUUCAGGACAGCCAGAGCUAUACAGAAAAACCUCUGUCCUGAAAAACAAUUGUGUGUGUGUGUGUGUGUGUGUGUGUGUGUGUGUGUGUGUGUGUGUGUGUGUAAAGCCAGCUCAGCUCUGGGAUCACCUGUAAUCCUGCAGGCAGGAAGGCUACAAGCUCCUGGUCAUCAGGAUGCUGUGUAUAAGUAAACAAUUGAAUUAAAGCAAGGCUAUUUGGGUAUUUGGGGAGUUUUGUUUUUUAGUUUUCAGUUUUGGUUCCUUUUAGUUGUUGUUGUGUUUUGUUUAGCUCUUUGAGAAAAUGUGUCACACAGCCUAAGCUGGCCUCUAACUUACUAUAUACACGUAACUUGCUUUGAACUCCUGAUCCUCCUGCCUCUACUACCUAAGUGCUAGGAUCUCAUGUAUGCACUACCAUGCCCAGACUUAAAGCCAGUAUGUCCCUCUUAUGGAUACACAAGAAGGAAAUUGCUCGUCCCUGUGACAGACAAUAGUGCUCUGCUGGAGAGAUGGCUCAAAGGUUAAGAGUACUUAUUGCUCUUGAAGUGGAGCCAAGUUUGGUUCCCAGCACCCACACGGUGGCUCCCAGUCAUCCCUGACUGAAGUUUCAUGUAAUCCAACACACUUUUCUGACCUCUUAAGGCAGGCAUACACAUGAGACACAUUCAUAGACUCAGGCAAGAAAUCCAUAUACAUAAACGAGAAUAAACAAAUCU